rnacentral:rRNA from 1 species
AUGGUUAAGAUUGGAAGGCUUAUUGAUGGGCAAUAUGCAAGAUUUGAAGAAGAAUACAAAGUUGUUGAAGACAAUCACCAACAAACGGCUUCAUGUAGUUGUGGGCAGUUUGAGAGAGUAGGAAUUUUGUGUGCUCAUGCUUUGAAAGUUCUUGAUUUAAUGAAUAUCAAGUUGUUGCCGGCACACUACAUUUUGAAGCGAUGGACAAGAGAAGCACGGUCAGGAUCCAUCAAAGAUUGUUGUGGACGGACUGUAGUUGAAAAUCCAAAGUUGGAUGCCAUCACCCGAUACAAUUUUCUUAUACACAUGUGUUGUGAGUUGGCAACUCUAGCAGCCAACUCUGAAGAAUGUUGUAUUGUUAUCGAGAAUGCACUUAUUAGUGCUACUAAGCAAGUGAAGGAACUAUUGGGUGCACGCACAACUAAUGUUGAAGACAGAUGCCAUGUCCAGGUGGCUCAAUCAUCAAAUGAAUCGUUGAGUGGUACACAAGUGACUCAAACAUCAAAUGAAUUGUUGAGUGUUGCACGUCUGAAGAAAAAAGAGGUUGAGAAGAAAGGCUCUAAAAGAAAAUUAGGUUUCCUUGAGAGGCAACACAAGAGGAGGAGGAAAACACCAUCUGCGACCACAUCAAAAAAAGAAAAAGAAGAUUGUCCCAUCAGCCAGCAGGGAGAAAAGGAGAACAUACCAUCACAGACUAGUUCAGUAAAGAAGGUUGUCUCAAAAAAAUUUGCAAAAAAGACUAAACCAAUACCAAAACUGAAGCAAGCAAGCACUGCAAAAUAUGAGUUCAUGGAAAGUUUCACCAAUUUGUUGACAGCUCCUAUUGUUAAUGACAUAGAUGUUGACACAUUCUGA